UUGUUAUGAGUUAUUGUUAAUUAUUGCAACAAUAUUUUGUGUCUUGAGCGUAAAACUAUGAUUUGUCUUUUACUUCAAAGUAUACGUCACUCGCGACUGUACGUCACAAUCGCCGCGUUCGCGCUCAUUCACUGUUACGUCACAGUGUUUGUCGACUGCGUCAUCGCUCAGCCACAAACGCCUGUGACGUCACAAUGCGGUUUGUUCUACGCUUGCGUUUCGCGAUUUUGUUUCCAUGGGGCCCCAUGCGCGUUUUACGUCGACAAGGCACAUUACUUGUAUAUUUUAAGUUUAAUACUUUUGUGCUAUCACCGCGAAGCAAGAAGAUCAAAGAAUUGGUAAAGUAUAAAUCACAAUUGGCAUUAUUACGUAUAUAAGCUCUUUUCCAGAAACUCCGAUGAUGUGACGUAACAGAAGAACCCACUUCAACAUUGUAUGUGACGUCACAGAGGAUCAAGUGAACCAUGGUAUGCAAGAAGAAUGAAGAAAAGUCAGCGAAUAAAGCUGCCGAAGAAAAGCGCAAGACGAAGAACAAGGAAGACGCCGAUAAAGGAUUCACGGUUUGAGGUUUCCUAGUCUCAAACCAUGGCCUGGAUUCGAACCCAAGAUCCCUGGUUCUCCAACCCUCGCUGGUUCGAAGCCUCCAAAGAAUCCAAAAAAAAAUUUCAAAAAUGUUUUUGGUCGAAAUUUUAUUUUGAUGAAAUAUUUUGUUGACCUACGACAAUAGUGAUUAAUUUACAAUAAUGAAUACUAGAAUCUAUACGUGACGUCAACAGAUGGCGCCAUACUGACGCAGAGAAUUUGAAAUUUCGCGGAAAAAUAAAAAAUAAUGUAAAACA